rnacentral:rRNA from 1 species
GACGGAGCACACCGCGUGAGAUGAAGAAGGCUCUUCGGCUCGUAAACUCUGUUGUUGGAGAAGAACGUGCGUGAGAGUAACUGUUUUCGCAGUGACCGUAUCCAACCAGAAAGUCACGGCUAACUACGUGCCAGCAGCCGCGGUAAU